UACGGGGGGGGCGAGCGUUGUUCGGAAUUACUGGGCGUAAAGCGCUCGUAGGCGGUCUGUCGCGUCGAAUGUGAAAACCCGGGGCUCAACUCCGGGCUUGCAUUCGAUACGGGCAGGCUAGAGUUCGGUAGGGGAGUCUGGAAUUCCUGGUGUAGCGGUGAAAUGCGCAGAUAUCAGGAGGAACACCGGUGGCGAAGGCGGGACUCUGGGCCGAUACUGACGCUGAGGAGCGAAAGCGUGGGGAGCGAACAGG
rnacentral:rRNA from 1 species